rnacentral:rRNA from 1 species
CACGGGGGGAGCAAGCGUUGUUCGGAAUCACUGGGCGUAAAGGGCGUGUAGGCGGUUGAGCAAGUGGAAUGUGAAAUGCCCCGGCUUACCUGGGGACCGGCAUCCCAAACUGCUUGACUUGAGUACGGGAGAGGAUGGAGGAAUUCCUGGUGUAGCGGUGAAAUGCGUAGAUAUCAGGAGGAACACCGGUGGCGAAGGCGUCCAUCUGGCCCGAUACUGACGCUGAGGCGCGAAAGCUAGGGUAGCAAACGGG